rnacentral:rRNA from 1 species
ACGCUGGCGGCGUGCUUAACACAUGCAAGUCGAACGAUGAAGCGGUGCUUGCACCGUGGAUUAGUGGCGAACGGGUGAGUAAUACGUGAGUGACCUACCUUUGACUCUGGGAUAAGCCUGGGAAACUGGGUCUAAUACCGGAUACGACCAAUCUCUGCAUGGGGUGUUGGUGGAAAGCGUUAUGGAGUGGUUUUAGAUGGGCUCACGGCCUAUCAGCUUGUUGGUGAGGUAAUGGCUUACCAAGGCGACGACGGGUAGCCGGCCUGAGAGGGUGACCGGCCACACUGGGACUGAGACACGGCCCAGACUCCUACGGGAGGCAGCAGUGGGGAAUAUUGCACAAUGGGCGCAAGCCUGAUGCAGCGACGCCGCGUGAGGGAUGACGGCCUUCGGGUUGUAAACCUCUGUUAGCAUCGAAGAAGCGAAAGUGACGGUAGGUGCAGAGAAAGCGCC